rnacentral:rRNA from 1 species
UACGUAGGGGGCAAGCGUUGUCCGGAAUUAUUGGGCGUAAAGAGCGCGUAGGCGGUCCGAUAAGUCGGCUGUGAAAGUCCAGGGCUCAACCCUGGAAAGCCGGCCGAUACUGUCGGACUAGAGUCCGGAAGAGGCGAGUGGAAUUCCCGGUGUAGCGGUGAAAUGCGCAGAUAUCGGGAGGAACACCAAUGGCGAAGGCAGCUCGCUGGGACGGUACUGACGCUGAGACGCGAAAGCGUGGGGAGCGAACAGG